AUUGAACGCUUGCGGCAUGCCUUACACAUGCAAGUCGAACGGCAGCACGGGGCAACCUGGUGGCGAGUGGCGAACGGGUGAGUAAUGCAUCGGAACGUACCUUUCAGUGGGGGAUAACGUAGCGAAAGUUACGCUAAUACCGCAUACGCUGAGAGCCGGAAAGCAGGGGAUCGCAAGACCUUGAGCUGAUUGAGCGGCCGAUGUCAGAUUAGCGAGUUGGUGAGGUAAAGGCUCACCAAGGCGACGAUCUGUAGCGGGUCUGAGAGGAUGAUCCGCCACACUGGAACUGAGACACGGUCCAGACUCCUACGGGAGGCAGCAGUGGGGAAUUUUGGACAAUGGGGGCAACCCUGAUCCAGCCAUGCCGCGUGAGUGAAGAAGGCCUUCGGGUUGUAAAGCUCUUUCGGCCGGGAAGAAAUCGCACGGGCUAAUACCCUGUGUGGAUGACGGUACCGGAAUAAGAAGCACCGGCUAACUACGUGCCAGCAGCCGCCGUAAGAC
rnacentral:rRNA from 1 species